rnacentral:rRNA from 1 species
UACGUAGGGUGCGAGCGUUGUCCGGAUUUACUGGGCGUAAAGAGCUCGUAGGCGGUUUGUCGCGUCUGCUGUGAAAACGCGAGGCUCAACCUCGCGCCUGCAGUGGGUACGGGCAGACUAGAGUUCGGUAGGGGAGACUGGAAUUCCUGGUGUAGCGGUGGAAUGCGCAGAUAUCAGGAGGAACACCGGUGGCGAAGGCGGGUCUCUGGGCCGAAACUGACGCUGAGGAGCGAAAGCGUGGGGAGCGAACAGG